CUUUGGUUUGCGUAGGAGUAUUUAUUGGAAUUAAAACUUGAUUUUGCAAUUAAUAUUUGGUCAUUUCAGUGAAGUUCACAGUGGAAUCUGAAAUAAUGGAACCAGUUUGGACCGGUGGUUGAGAUGUUGAUCUAGAAACCUGGAGACUGUGAUGGCAAAAGCAUAAAGAAUGCCAGUGGAGCCUUUUAUGUUUCAUUUUUCUUGAGUGCUGUCUCAGUUUUUUUUUUUCUUCCGAUGAUCUAACCUACCAUUGCCGCUGUUGCCUAUUUCUAAAGAAAUAAAACACUCUUAAUCUAAAUUAUUAGAUGCACACUCAUUAAUUUGUUACAAAAGAAAUAUUUCAAGAAUGACAGAUUUGUUGUGUAAGGCAGGACAAGUGGAUACAAGGGAAGGCUGUCUCUCUUGCUUCAGAAAUAAAAGGAGUGUCUUUAAAGCUACAGCCAGAAGAGGGCAGAGCUAGCCUACAAAUCAGUCAUUUCAAUACUUCUGCACACUGUGAUUCAAGGCCCUUAGAAGAAAGAACCAUUCACAGGAGGACUGUUUGAACAAUACAAGCCAGCAUUCUGGAGAUACGUUGAGAUUGCAACUCCCAGAAUUCCACACUACCAUGGGAACUCUGGGUAUUCAAUCCCAAGAGGCAAGCCGCUCAUGCCUAAACAGCUAUAUUUUCUUGGUUAUGGAGGCUGAACACAAUGAGAUCACUAGUUAGAAGGUUGCUGUUUGCAAUUCUGGCUGUCAAAACUGAGGCAGUGCUUUCAAAGUACAUUUCAGAAAAGAUGUUUUUCAUUGUUUUGCAAAAAUUUAAAUUUUUCCAUUAGUGGGAAAAAUGUUAUCUGCAAGGUUACAAAAUGUGUUUACUUACAAAUUUGGAAAUAACAGCAGUGUCGAUGCAUCAAGUUUGUCAUCUGCUCAUGGUUAGCAGAUGGUCCUCCUUCUUUGCAAAUAAAGGGCAUGACUCACAUUCAGACUGCAAAUCAGUGCUUGCCCUCUGUUGGAAUGGCAAACUGGGCACUUGAUGGGGUCAGGGGUCAUAUUUUCUAGAGGGCUACAUUCUGGUUUUACCUUGAAUAAUCUCCUGAACAAUCUAGAUAAAAGAUAAUAGCUGAAUGAAAAUAAGUUACUGAAUUUACUCAGAAGGUAUUGAAUUUACUAUAUUGUCUUUCUUAGGUUUCAACUUUGGCAAUAAAAUUGAUGACAGUGAUCUCAACAAAUCUUCAUGGUAAUUGCAAUUUGGCCUAUAAAACUACUUUUAAAAAAUCAGAUUUGGUAUGUGAUCUAAAUAUGCUUAUUACCUAUAUGUGAUGCUAUGGUAAUAUCUGUCCUUUCUGAUAGAAUACAUUUAGUCUGAGAUCCUUUGUUUGUUAUAGCUGCUUUACAUACUGGUUUAUGUACUUAAAAUCUGAUUCAGUUAGUAGCUUGGGUCCAAAGCAAGUUAGGUACAUUUAGCCCCUGUGAAGUUAAGUAGAAUUUAAGUCACAAUUUACCAUUCACUUUAAUAUCAAGGCAUUCAACUACAUUCAGCAAAAUUUGUCAAUAUCAAAUAUUAUUGUUACCAGAGACGUUGUUGCUUUUUCUUUUUGCCUGAAGCUUUACAAGCGUAAUUAAAGUAAUCUUCAAACUAAGCAACUCCCCAAUCUUCUAAAAAUAUCAAUCAUAAUUUAAAUUACACACCCUAAUAAUUCCCAAAUUCCUCCUGGAUGUUAUAUAUGUAGCCACAUCAAAGACAAUCACAUUUUGCCAAAAAUUACGAUGUUCAAUCUGUGUCAUAUCUUUCAAAUUCUCGUAUGUAUUGUUUUAA